rnacentral:lncRNA from 1 species
AUGGUCAUUUCCAUGGUAGUGCAAGCUAGGUUGCGUGCCACGAACAAGAAGAUGAUUACAACUAUUAUGUGGGUGGGGAUGAUAGAUUUAGGAAAAGGAUGGCCACAAGCCACAUUAGCAUUGAGCACAUGUGAUGUGUGGUGACGUAUACAUGAGGUAGUGCAAAGUCGCCCCACUAUACAUGAUUCAUAAAUGAUCGUCAGAUCGAUAAUGCACGAUGACUAUGGAGGCCAGGUAGGCACGAACAGUACUUAAAGACAGUACCCAAGCCAUGGCAGCAAUGCCAAGAACAUCUCGAAGAGUGGUGGCAAUGAUGAGCCGGCAUUGUGAGGCUGAGGUGUGCAGACUGGGAAAGAGCACCACAUGAAGGCCUCCCUUGGGAUGGUAUGCAUAGCUCCAGUCCUACGGCCAUGGACCAGGAGCGCCUGCCGACGUAAAAGUACUGGGUGAAAGUAAACCAGUCGAUGAUUCAAAAAAAAAAUCCUGAAUAAAUGAUCGGUGAGAGACAAAAACCAAUCGGUUCACCAAACAAAGAUAUUUU